UACGUAGGGUGCAAGCGUUAAUCGGAAUUACUGGGCGUAAAGCGUGCGCAGGCGGUUAUGUAAGACAGUGUGAAAUCCCCGGGCUUAACCUGGGAACUGCAUUGGUGACUGGCAGGCUUUGAGUGUGGCAGAGGGAGGUAGAAUUCCACGUGUAGCAGUGAAAUGCGUAGAGAUGUGGAGGAAUACCGAUGGCGAAGGCAGCCUCCUGGGCCAACACUGACGCUCAUGCACGAAAGCGUGGGGAGCAAACAGG
rnacentral:rRNA from 1 species